UGCCAGACUCCUACGGGAGGCAGCAGUGAGGAAUAUUGGUCAAUGGUCGGGAGACUGAACCAGCCAAGCCGCGUGAGGGAGGAAGGUACAGAGUAUCGUAAACCUCUUUUGUCAGGGAACAAAGACUGGGACGCGUCCCCGGAUGAGUGUACCUGAAGAAAAAGCAUCGGCUAACUCCGUGCCAGCAGCCGCGGUAAUACGGAGGAUGCGAGCGUUAUCCGGAUUUAUUGGGUUUAAAGGGUGCGUAGGCGGGCAUUUAAGCCGGCGGUCAAAUGUCGGGGCUCAACCCCGUCGUGCCGUUGAAACUGAUGUUCUUGAGUGGGCGAGAAGUAUGCGGAAUGCGUGGUGUAGCGGUGAAAUGCAUAGAUAUCACGCAGAACUCCGAUUGCGAAGGCAGCAUACCGGCGCCCAACUGACGCUGAAGCACGAAAGCGUGGGUAUCGAACAGGAUUAGAUACCCGCGUA
rnacentral:rRNA from 1 species